GUUAUGUUAGUGGGACUGGAUCCUGGGCAAGUGGACCAGCAUCCCUGGAAGCUUCACUGAUCCUGGAGAACCAAGGAUUGGCAUGUGUGUGCAGGGAUUUACUUCCUGGAAGAAGCCACAGCAAGUGGAAGACGACCACAGACUCCAGACUCCCUCCUCCUAGGCUAAGGAUAAUGACAGGUGGUUGCCGUAACUUCCAGAAGUGGAAUACUUACCCUGAUGUGUCGCAUUGUGAAGAACAUUCUGGAAACAGCCGAAAUCUUCUUCAUUAGUAAGAUGCUGUGGCAAGCUUUUCUCUUAGAUCAUUGCGCCUGAGCUGGAGAUGGGACUAAAAAUAAAGAAUCUAGCAACUGUGAAGACUAAAUUUGCUCUAAGGUCUGUAUUCCCUACUUUGGGUUUCCAUUGCUUAGAACUAUUAAC